rfam:Oryza rufipogon genomic scaffold, chr06
UGGGUUUGUCCUAAGUCACACUUCUUUAAGUUUGACCAAGUUUAUAGAAAAAACGUAGCAACAUCUACAAUACCAAAUUAAUAUAUUUGUUGUGUUGGAAAUGCUACUACAUUUUUUUAUAAAGUUGGCCAAACUUGAAGAAGUUUGACUUAGGACAAAUCCAA